UCAAAAAUCCCACAUCAAAACAUGCUCUUCCACAUCAUAAACCUCUCACACAAAACAUUUCCUUGCACACAAGUUGUUUACGAGUUUCAAGUGGUCGCGUCACAAGACUCCCUCCAUGAGUAAAAACUACGCAGUAACGUGAAAAGAAGCAUGGACGUUCACCCACGCGCGUGGUAUUUAUUACGAAAAAAGAACACAGUGUACCGAGUUACGCGUGGACACUCAUUCUCAGAGUUUGUCUUCGUCGGAGUGCUCGGGACAGAAGGAUGAAAAGAAAAAGGGACGAGGCAAAAAGGCAGGAAAACAGCGUGGAACAAUAACGGUGCACGUUUAUCCUCGGACGACAGAGCACGCGAUGGAUUCCUUUGUAAGUGGACGUCCCCCACCAUCUUGAAAAGCCACUUAAACGCGCCUGCGCAGUUGCAACAUAUGCGUGCACAUACCCAUGGGGAACAUGGACAUCUGCGCGGGAACAGCUGCAAUUGGCGAACGAUCAGUUUGGAUGCAAGGAAUUCUCUGUGGUUAAUCCAAUUUCGAUAAUUCAAAUUUGAAGCCCAAUAAACUUUACAUGUUCCAAGCCUUUGAUUUCAUCUCCAUCCAUUGCGUCAUUCCGAAUUAAAACAAUCUCCAUUGAACAAAUCAAAAGAAAAGGAAAACCAAGUACUCCAAAGUAGCCGAUCUCGAAAGCGAGAAUUAACGAGCGAUCUCGAAAUCGUGAGGGUUGUCUUAAUUAGAUCGCGACUCCGUCUUCGUCGGUGUUCUUUUUCAAACUCGAGGGCACACGCUGUUGGAAAUCGUUGAAACGAUGCAGAAAUAACGAGAACCGGAAAGGAGAGAGAAAGAAAGAGAAAGAGGAGUUUGAAGUGCAUGGUGGGCCCUCGACCGAUCAAAGCAGAUUCGCAAAGUUGGCCCAAAGAACAAGGAAUACCGAGUGGCUCUCCUCUCGUCGAAUGUAUCAACGAUCAAAGGGUUAAUACGCGUUGGAAAUUCCUUUUUUUCCGUUCUCAAAAGGAUUAAUGAAGUUGUUUUGCAAAAUUUUGAUGAUUGAGGAAGAAAAUUAAAAAAUUUAUUGAAAGAAGAAAAUUUUGUAAGAAAUUUAAUAUACUUUUCAAAGAAAU